UACGUAGGGUGCGAGCGUUAAUCGGAAUUACUGGGCGUAAAGCGUGCGUAGGCGGUGAGUUAAGUCUGAUGUGAAAUCCCCGGGCUCAACCUGGGAAUGGCAAUGGAUACUGGCUCGCUAGAGUGUGAUAGAGGAUGGUGGAAUUCCCGGUGUAGCGGUGAAAUGCGUAGAGAUCGGGAGGAACAUCAGUGGCGAAGGCGGCCAUCUGGAUCAACACUGACGCUGAGGCACGAAAGCGUGGGGAGCAAACAGG
rnacentral:rRNA from 1 species